CCCUCUCCACUGAGAGCCUCAAUCGCACUCUAUCCCAUCAUCCUCCCUAUUUUUCAUCCUCUUUUCUUUAUCGGUAAACCCGGGAUUGGUAGUCUCGCGUUCUCGUCCAACCAAUAUACACCCACGUAUGCGCAACCCCCGUAUAUUUGAACCCUUCCCGGUAUCCCUCUUCUCAUUCAUAUCUCUGCCCACUCCCUGCUUUCUCCUCCGGUUAACCGGUCGUGUUCCAUUUCCUCUCUAUCUCUCGUGCUUUCCCCUAUUAUAUUGGAGCGCGGGAAUGAUUGGGAGCUGAGUUUAUUGAUUUUGUGGCGUACAUCUUUCAUUUCGUCGAGUUCUAAUCCACUGAUAUUCCAUUCUGCGUGCGAUUUCGUUCUGCGUCAGUUGCGUAAGAUACAGGAGCCGCGCGCGCGCUAGUCUCUGCACUAGAUCGUUACGCGGAUGUAUAAUAUAGAUUCGACAUCUCGCUGUUUACAAAAGUGGAUCUGAGACGCACAAAAAAAAAUCGAAUUUUCCGUAGUUUUCGUAAUUUCAAUAUCAUUAAACUAUUAGCUUUUUAAUUUUAUAAGUUACCUGCCAAUAACAUAUGUUCGCCAUGGGAUAUUCUUAUACGUAAAUUUACAUGAACGUCCUGACGAUAUCGUGCGGGUUCGGAUAACAAUUUCACAUUACAGGAAGUUUCUCGGAAAAGAAUCUAUCGAGAAACUUUCGCAGAGCUGG